GUGCUCUCUGCAGCAGCACAUAUACUAAAAUUGGAACGAUACAGAGAAAGUUACUGUGGCCCCUGUGCAAGGAUGAGAGGAAGUUUACAUGCCAGUCACUCCUGGUUA
ensembl:snRNA U6 U6 spliceosomal RNA